AUUGCUACUUUAACAAUAGUGCUGACCUUUUAGUAAAAGUUGGUAAGUGCUAUUUGUUGGGGUAGUUUUA
rfam:Astyanax mexicanus Tnplaced_Scaffold3145, whole genome shotgun sequence.